GGCACACGGGAAGCAAUGUCUUCACAGACUUUACUUCUUAUACUUAGUUACAUUCCCCUUCCCCAAUACAUUUAUUAUGUUUUGCUGAGAUAUGUUUGGUUUAAUUAAUCUGAAGCUAUAUUACUAUGAAAUGAACAUGUAUUUGGUGCCUACUGUGUAUUAGUAUGCAGAGAUAAAUAGAAGAAGCUGAGUAUGUAAUAUAGAAAUUGAAACAAAUCAGGAUAAUACAAUAAUGGCAAGCCAUAUCUUUUCUUAAUCUGAUAGAAUACUAUGCAGGCCUACUUUGGGUUACUGCCAACAAAGUUUUCUUACAUCUGUAGUUGCUUAAUUAUCAAAGAAAAUCUGAUCUCAGAUUGCAAGGAAAAAAGCAUGUUGUCAGAUUCCCAAAAGUAACUGGUAACUCUGAACUUAAUUUGACUCUUAAAAAUUCACUUAGUUUUUAUUUUUCUUUAAUACUUGGUGGUUCUUUUGGCAAAAACAGUGUAUUGACGUUCUGGGCAUAUGCAGUAAGUGUUUUGGUAUAUAUAUCAUCUCUUGUAUAUAUCAUUCCCUCUCAGUAUAAUGGUAACAGACAUGAUAUAAAUCAGUAAUGCAUCAAAAUGCAAAUUUAGGGGUGUUUAACAAAGCAGGUACUUAUACAGAAUUUACAAGGUAACUUGGAAC
rnacentral:lncRNA from 1 species